GGGCAGGCCAUAGCUCAGCAGUUCCUUCAACUGCAUUGUGAUUUCAUUACACUCUUGGGGGUGAUUCAAGAGCCACAGGUGCUCCCCUGUCCUUUA
ensembl:vault_RNA Vault Vault RNA